CAAUAGCGUAUAUUAAGGUUGUUGCGGUUAAAAAGCUCGUAGUUGGAUUUCUGCUGAGAACGACCGGUCCGCCCUUUGGGUGUGUAUCUGGCUCUUUCUUGGCAUCUUCUUGGUGAACGUUGCUGCACUUGACUGUGUGGAGCGCUACCCAGGACUUUUACUUUGAGGAAAUUAGAGUGUUUCAAGCAGGCAUACGCCUUGAAUACAUUAGCAUGGAAUAAUAAGAUAGGACCUCGGUUCUAUUUUGUUGGUUUCUAGAGCUGAGGUAAUGAUUAAUAGGGAUAGUUGGGGGCAUUCGUAUUUAACUGUCAGAGGUGAAAUUCUUGGAUUUGUUAAAGACGGACUACUGCGAANGNAUUUGCNAAGGAUGUUUNCAUUG
rnacentral:rRNA from 1 species